CUGGGGUUGUAGCUCAGUGUUAGAGCACUUGCCUAGCAUGUGUGAGGCACUGGGUUCUAUUCUCAGACCACAUA
rnacentral:tRNA from 1 species